AGUGAACGCUGGCGGUAGGCCUAACACAUGCAAGUCGAACGGCAGCACAGUAAGAGCUUGCUCUUACGGGUGGCGAGUGGCGGACGGGUGAGGAAUACAUCGGAAUCUACUUUUUCGUGGGGGAUAACGUAGGGAAACUUACGCUAAUACCGCAUACGACCUACGGGUGAAAGCAGGGGAUCUUCGGACCUUGCGCGAUUGAAUGAGCCGAUGUCGGAUUAGCUAGUUGGCGGGGUAAAGGCCCACCAAGGCGACGAUCCGUAGCUGGUCUGAGAGGAUGAUCGGCCACACGGGAACUGAGACACGGUCAAGACUCCUACGGGAGGCAGCAGUGGGGAAUAUUGGACAAUGGGCGCAAGCCUGAUCCAGCCAUACCGCGUGGGUGAAGAAGGCCUUCGGGUUGUAAAGCCCUUUUGUUGGGAAAGAAAAGCAGCAGGUUAAUACCCCGCUGUUCUGACGGUACCCAAAGAAUAAGCACCGGCUAACUUCGUG
rnacentral:rRNA from 1 species